GCCCAGCAAGUAUGGUGGAUAUGACCCUCGGCGUGGAACCGAGUGGGCUCGGGUUCGAAUCCCGAAUAAGGCA
rnacentral:tRNA from 1 species